AUGGCAGAAGGGCACUGGCACCCCGGGGCCGGGGUAGGGGUGCAAAGGCACGCCGGCACCGGCGUCCCGUACACGGGCGGAGCGUACACCGGCAUGGGCUUCAUGCGCCGGUGCGCGAACAAGGGCUUCCUGCCGAACGCGUGGCACGGGAAGCAGAUGUUGGCCGCCGCGCACUCGGGCGCCGCCGACGUCCCACCUCGCGCCGCCUUGCCAGCGACGGCGACGAAGGUGCCCUCGGCCAGCAGCGGCACGAUCCUCGACGGCUCCUGCCCGGGGCACGGCGCGCCGCUCGCCGCGCUCUGGAGCUGCGCGAGGCACUCGGAGGCGCCGGCGUCGGCCGGGAGGAGCACCUCGAACGCGCCCGUGCCGUCGAGGCUGGCGACGGCCUUGCUCUCGUUCUUGCACGUGAUGGCGACCUUGAGGCCCCUGAACGCCGCCUCGGCGCCCAAGCUCUUCCUCCCGCAGCCGGCGCACUGGGCCAUGCCGACGACGAAGACGACCGACGUGUCCCCGCCGCCGCCGCCGCCUCCCUCCGCAGCGGCCGCCAUCAGCGCCCCAGCGCAGACGAUGAGAACGCGGAGCAGCAGCCUCCCUCCACCACCUCCUUCCAUGGCGACCAUCUCCACCUAUCUAUCUACCCGCUGCACCUCUGCGACAACAACCACAAGCGAAGUGAGGGAGCGGCAGCCAUGGCGAGGGUGUGUAUAUAGCCAGGAAGCAGGCGGCGAGCGAGCGAUCCACUCCAUGGAAGAUCCAUCAAUGAACAAUUACUCAAGGGAUGAAUGA
rnacentral:rRNA from 1 species